AACGAACGCUGGCGGCAUGCCUAACACAUGCAAGUCGAACGAGACCUUCGGGUCUAGUGGCGCACGGGUGCGUAACGCGUGGGAACCUGCCCUUAGGUUCGGAAUAACUCCCCGAAAGGGGUGCUAAUACCGGAUAAUGUCUUCGGACCAAAGAUUUAUCGCCUUUGGAUGGGCCCGCGUUGGAUUAGCUAGUUGGCAGGGUAAAAGCCUACCAAGGCGACGAUCCAUAGCUGGUCUGAGAGGAUGAUCAGCCACACUGGGACUGAGACACGGCCCAGACUCCUACGGGAGGCAGCAGUGGGGAAUAUUGGACAAUGGGCGAAAGCCUGAUCCAGCAAUGCCGCGUGAGUGAUGAAGGCCUUAGGGUUGUAAAGCUCUUUUACCCGGGAUGAUAAUGACAGUACCGGGAGAAUAAGCUCCGGCUAACUCCGU
rnacentral:rRNA from 1 species